ensembl:lncRNA
GUUUGCAACGUGCUUGCAGCAGGUACUGCUGAAAAUAGGAUGUGCUUGCUCUAUAGCCACACAGCCAUGCUUGGGAGUGCCUACCAACAUAUUUGCUAAUGAAGAAGUGCUUUGGACACUGGUUGUGCUAACAGAGAGGUCUGCUUCCUGGAACUGAAGAUGUCUCCUGGAACCACACCUGGAACAUUUGGAAACUUGGAUUUGCCUGGGGUUAGUUGCAGCUGAAAUUUCAGCUCCGUUAACAUCUAAAGUAUUAAAUAUCUUCCCUUCUUGCGCUGGACCUUUUAUCUUGGAGAUGGUCUUCAAUGAUGCAGAUGAAACAAAGCAUGGCAAAAGUGAGCUGACCACCUGCAAGUGGAUGGGAAAGGGCCUCCAGC